GCGGGGGACGGGCCCGGGGUGCCUGCGGGUGAAGGGGCGGCUCGAAGGGUCAGUAGCUGGAGGCCCGGUCUUGAGGAGGUGCCUGGAGCAGACCCGGGCUGGGCGCUGCAGGGGAGGGAGGAGCUUGCGGAGGCGGCGGGCGGGAACGGGGAGGAAUUCCAGGUUUUAGGCAAAGAAAGACGGCAGGGCUGGGGAAAAGGGAUCGUGGACGGGAGACCCCGCAGGAGGAAGGAGGGGGCUGGUGUUGACCCGAAGUAUUUUCUGUCACGCCUGGCCACUCUGCCCUGGACCCUCAAUCCCGCCGAAUAGGACACAUCUCCAGAACCCCAGCAGGAGCAAGCUGCAGGGCUGGCCUUCAAAUCCUGCUUCAACAGGAGCCCCUGGAGGCCUGCUUCAGUGCAACCGGCCUAACCAUGGCCUAACCACCAGGGCUCAUCAAAGAGGCGGCCUGGAUGCGUGGGACCUAAGCAAGAUCAGUAAAGGGUUAUCCCAAUUUCAGACUCGCUCCCAGAAAGUCACUCUUGGGAGCUCUCUGUGGAAUUGGGCCCCCUUCUUCUGGUAGUCUGUUUUCAAAACUGACAGGGGUAUGAAAGAAAAACUUAUCCCGGAAAGAAAAUUGGGUUGAACAUUUAUCAUCUCAUUUAAGUCUUGCAAUGAUGGCUAUAUGUAUUUUUGCUACAUAAGUCUUCUAUUAAUUUUUUUUUUAAAGUUUCAGAUGUCUGCAGAAUGGGCAUGUGGUUCGUUAGAGUGGCCAAUACCCCAGUGAGUGACAACACUUUGUGUGUGAGGCCGUUGGCCGCCAGGCCAUCUCACUCACUGCUUUGGGGGCAUCAUUUUGCACAGCCCCUGCAGAGUGUGAUUUGGGCUCCUGGGUCAGGCUGACAAAUGCAGGAACCUGUGAGGCAGCCAUUCCCCUUCCAGGAAUGUACCGUAUCCAUGUUCUACCAGCUACACAAAGCGACUUGAGUGCCAGACUAGUCACUUCAGUUACUGUAGCAAAAUACUGGAAACUCCCUAAAUGCCCAUGGGCAGACACCAGGGAAAUCACUGCAGCACGCCCAGACAAUGGAGUACUAUGUGGCAGUGAAAAAGAAUAAGGACGUUCUCUCUGUUCUGA